UACGUAGGGUGCAAGCGUUAAUCGGAAUUACUGGGCGUAAAGCGUGCGCAGGCGGUUUUGUAAGACAGAUGUGAAAUCCCCGGGCUCAACCUGGGAACUGCGUUUGUGACUGCAAGACUUGAGUGCGGCAGAGGGGGGUAGAAUUCCACGUGUAGCAGUGAAAUGCGUAGAGAUGUGGAGGAAUACCGAUGGCGAAGGCAGCCCCCUGGGUCGA
rnacentral:rRNA from 1 species